UAUGGCCAUAUCAUAUUGAGACACUGGUUCUCAUAUGAUCACCAAAGUUAAGCAAUGUCAAACCUGGUCAGUACUGAGAUGGGUGCCUGUUCAGGAAUACCAGGUGCUAUA